CCAGGCUCAUAACAUGCCAUGGUGGAAGGCCAGAAGCACCACCCAGUUCAGAAGCGUGAGGUCCAACAGAAGGAGCUCCCUGUCAAAGCCAAGGGCCCCCACCCUUUGCAGGAGCUAGCACACCAGUUGUUGCCAGAGUAGGUGCUCCUCGCUGUAGAGGAGUCAAUGAACAGCUUGCAGGUAGAAGGCAGCCACCUUGCUUGCCAGGUUGACCAGGCUCUGGUCCCCCUUGGCGACAGGUAGGUAAAGGAUGACUUGUGGGA